rnacentral:misc_RNA from 1 species
GUGAAUCAUCGAAUUUUUGAACGCAAAUUGCACUCUCUGGUAUUCCGGAGGGUAUGCCUGUUUGAGGGUCAUUAUAAAUAAAAAUCUAUGUUUGGCUUAUGGUGACGCCAUCUGAAUUGGGUUAUUUUUAAUCUUAAUAAAGGUUUAAAGUUACCUAAAAUUGAUUAUACCUUGUGCAUCUCAAGACGUACAGAAUAUUUUUUUUUUUAUCCAUUCUUGCUUUU